rnacentral:tRNA from 1 species
GGUGAGUUGCCCGAGUGGCCAAUGGGAACAGACUGUAAAUCUGUCGGCGAGAGCCUACGUAGGUUCGAAUCCUACACUCACCACCA